rnacentral:rRNA from 1 species
UCGGAUAGGUUGGAGUUGGCUGGGCUACUACCUCGAAAGGGGUGGCGGCCUGGCUGUGCACUAGCCUGUCCACGGUUGCGCGAAACCUCAAUCAACUAACAGCUUAGAACUGACACGGACAUCGGGAAUCCGACUGUUUAAUUAAAACAAAGCAUUGCGACGGGUCGUAACGACUGUUUACGCAAUGUGAUUUCUGCCCAGUGCUCUGAAUGUCAAUCUGGAGAAAUUCAACCAAGCGCGGGUUAACGGCGGGAGUAACUAUGACUCUCUUAAGGUAGCCAAAUGCCUCGUCAUCUGAUUAGUGACGCGCAUGAAUGGAUUAACGAGAUUCCCACUGUCCCUAUCUGCAAGCUAGCGAAACCACUGCCAAGGGAACGGGCUUGGAAAGAAAGGCGGGGAAAGAAGACCCUGUUGAGUUUGACUCUAGUCUGUCUUGGCUGCUUGGCUUGGGAGGUGUAGCAUACGUGGGAGUGGCAACACGAACUUGAAAUACCACGACUCUCGACGCUAAGCGGCUCAAACGUAGAAAUGGCGCACUGGGUAAUACCAGUCUUCCGUGAAACCAAGGUCUCCUUCCAAGGGGGCCAAGUCACAACGUUGAAAGAGACAGGUGGGGAGUUUGGCUGGGGCGGCACGACCGAAAAACGAUAACUCGGACGUCCGAAGACUAGCUCAACGAGAACAGAAAUCUCGUGUGGACGAUAUUGCGAAAAGCUAGUUUGAUUGAAACUCUCAGUACCAGUUUCAACUCUGAAAAGAUGGCAAAGCGCUCCUGAAGAUCACCCAACACUCUAAUGCGUAGAGCUUCAGGCGUCAGAAAAAUUACCAAAGGGAUAACUGGCUUGUGGCAGCCAAGAGUUCAUAUCGACGUUGCUUUUUGAUUCUUCGAUGUCGGCUCUUCCUAUACUUGGCCCGCAGCAGAGCCAAAGGUUGUGAUUGUUCAUCAUUUUUAGGGAACGUGAGCUGGGUUUAGACCGUCGUGAGACAGGUUAGUUUUACCCUACCUUUUAAGUUGAUUCUGUAAUGGCAGUGCCCGGUAGUACGAGAGGAACUCGGGCGCCACAUCCCUGGUACAUGCCCUUGGCUGAAAAGCUAGUGGGGCGAAACUAAAUGUGUAGGCUAACAGCUGAACGCCUCUAAGCUGCAAGCCGAACCGGAUUCACAGAAUUAAUGGGUUGCUUCGGUUUACUCUGUUACGCAUAUCUCGGGGCCACCCGAGAUUAAAACACACUGAGGGGGCUGGACAGGGACGGGCGAUUAUGCACGUCUUUGGGCUCCCACAUACAAACACAAAAGAAGCAACUUUU